rnacentral:lncRNA from 1 species
AUUUCGUUUGGGAUCAAUAGGAAAGCAUAUGCAGCCAACCAAGAUGCAAAUGUUUUGAAAUGAUAUGACUAAAAUUUUAAGUAGGAAAGUCACCCAAACACUUCUGCUUUCACUUAAGUGUCUGGCCCGCAAUACUGUAGGAACAAGCAUGACCUUGUUACUGUGAGAUUUAAAAUAUCCACAGUAUUCACUUUUUCCAAAUGAUCCUAGUAAUUGCCUAGAAAUAUCUUUCUCUUACCUGUUAUUUACUUAGUAUGCAGUUGAUAAGAGGAAUUUGGUAUAAUUAUGGUGGGUGAUUAUUUUUUAUACUGUAUGUGCCAAAGCUUUACUACUGUGGAAAGACAGCUGUUUUAAUAAAAGAUUUACAUUCCACAAAAGAAAA